rnacentral:rRNA from 3 species
AGCUAUAUAUUAAAGAGAUUUAUUUAUAUAAAUAGGUUUGCUAGCUGAUUGUGUAUAUACGCAGGCCAAUGCUUCUAAUUUCAUAGCAAGCUCGCUUGCUAUGAAAUAGGCAACCAGUAAUAUAAGCAAGUGUGUGCUAUUUAUAGCGCUAGCCUACAAACCUAUAAUUAUAUUAACUCUAAGAGAAAUUUAAUAAUAAACGAAGUGAAUUGAAAUAUCUUAGUAACUUUAGGAAAAGAAAUCAAAAGAGAUUCUAUGAUUAGCGUGAGCUAAAAUAGACUAGCCUAAAAAGUCAAAUGGUGGAUAAACUGUUUAAAUUAAAUGGGGAACCUUCCUCAAAGGCUAAAUAUAAUGUAUAAGCGAUAGUGGAAAGUACCGUGAGGGAACCAAAACAAAAACAGUGAUUUUAUAAGCAGUUCGGAAAAAUAAAAAAAAGUUAGAACGUACCUUUUGCAUAAUGGGUCACCAAGUUAACAUUAGAUGCGAGUAGGAGGCUUUGCCCAUACAUACGUAGUUAAACCGAGCGUUAAAAUAACGGUAAGUAUCUAAAGUUAGACCCGAAGCCUGGUGAUUUUACCAUAAUCAGGAUUAUAAAAGUCCGAACGGAAUAUUGUAGCAUAAAUAUCCGAAGAAUUAUGGUAGGUGUAGUGAAAGACAAUACUGACCAGGAUAGCUGGUUUUCUGCGAAACCUAUAACAGUAGGCAAUUUAAGUAUAAUAUCUUAGCAGGUACAGAAUUUAAUCUCAGACAAGACAUAAGGCUUAGCUUGCUAGCAAGUAAAGCUCAUGUUUUAUUUUGUACAAAUUGGGGGAUCAUGAAGAUUUUAUCAGUGAGUAUGUAGACUCGGAAUGGCAAAGAUAUAUCUUAAAUCAUCAGACAUAGAAUGAUAAGGUUGUAUGUCAAAAGGGAAACAGCCCAGAACAAGAGUUAAGGUUCCUAAAUUAUUAGUUGAGUGAAAUUAAGAAGGUUUUUAUUAAAGUCGACAAGGAGAUAGGCUUAGAAGCAGCCAUAAUUUUAUGACCUCGUAACAGAGCGCUUGUUAAGUUUUAAAAGCAUCGAAAAUUUAUCGGAUCUAAACAAUAUACCGAAACCUUGUCCAUAUUAUUUUAUAAUUAAAGCUUAAUUAUAAUUAAAUGGGGUAGCAGAACGUUGAGCUAAAUUAAGAUUUUUAUUUUUUAAAUGAAAUUAUAAUAAUUUAACUCAAGUGAUAAUGGUGACAUGAGUAACUAAAAGAAAAAAUAAAAUUUUUCCGCCUAAAGCUUAUGGAUGUAAUUAAGUAACGGCCUCUAAGUUUAUAUUAUCUAAAGAUUUAAACGAUGAGAUAAUCUUUUGUACUAAGGACGACAUUUUAAGUGAAAAAUGUACUGGAAAAAUAGUACUAAAUUAAUGGGUAUAGCUAAUUAGUUAGCUAUAGCUAUAAAUGAAAAGUAACCGUACCUAGAAUCUGAAACAAGUAAGCUAGUAGAGAAUACGAAGGCGUAAAUGAGCUAACAAUCAUAAAGGAACUCGGCAAAUUGACUACCGUAACUUCGGGAUAAGGAGAGCUCAUUAUUCUUGAUUAAUAUCAGGUAAAGAGGAAGAAGCAUGAAAUAGUGUUGUACGACUGUUUAAUUAAAACACAGCACUUUGCUGAAAGAUUAAAAAUCUAAGUAUAGAGUGUGAUGUCUGCCCGGUGCCGGCUGGUUAACAGAUAUAAUUAAAUAUACUAAUAUUUGAUGUAGACGGAAACCCCGGUUAAAGGCGGCCUUAACGUGAGGGUCCUAAGGUAGCGAAAUGCCUUGGCCGUUAAAUGCGGUCUUGCAUGAAUGAUGUAACGAUACAACAGCUGUCUCUAUGAUUGACUCAGUGAAAUUGGAAUAGCUGUGCAGAUACAGUUUACCUCUAGUUAGACGAGAAGACCCUAUGCAGCUUUACUGUCACUAAUUAUAGAGUAUGAUAAACAAUUUUCAGAUUAUAAGGUAAUUGACGGCUAGCUUGUUCAGCAAGCUAGCUCUAUGACAAUGAGAAUCCUUUAUUUUUUUUUCAUAUGAAUGAAUUGGUUUAGGAUUAUGAGUAGGUAGCGGCUUCUGCUACUUGGCGUAAGCAUUGCUUGCGUCAGGUGUCUGAAGUAUGCAUUCCAGCUCAUGCAUAGUAAAUCAACCUAAUUCAGCUUAUUUUCCUUUCUGCCAUAAGCGCAUAAUGAUAGAUUUAACUUAAAUUUUGAUUUAUGCCAGCUGCAGAAAUAGAUAAGUACCCUUGGCUAAGGAACUAUCGCUAGGGGACAGUUUAUGUGGGGCACAGACCCUGUAAAGAGUAAACAGGAGUGUCUAAUAAUUUAUAAUUAUUUUGUUUGCGAUUUAAGAUAGUGAAACUAUUUUUAAUCAUAUAAAAUUAUUUAUAUGUACAUUCGUUGUAUAUAUAUUUAAAAAAAGGUAGGAUUUUCACUAUAUAGAAAUUAGAGAUAAUAAAAAUAUUAAGAAUAUACGUUUCAGGCUGGGAGGGGGAAGCUCCUCCCUUUGAAAGGUAGCACUAAUAUUUUUUAGCUAUUAAGACAGGCUAUCAAGCUAGGCUCUAAUAGUUAUGUAUUAAUUAUCUAAAAAGCUCAACGGCUAAAUCUUGCCUUACUGUUUGAUUAUCAACAAAUCUUACAGUUGCGUAAGCAGGGCAUAGGAUCACAAGAUGCAACAAGGAAAGAUCUUGGAUUAUUGGAAAAGCUACGCUAGGGAUAACAGGCUAAUUUGCGCAAGAGUGUACAAAAUGAGUGCGCGGUUUGGCACCUCGAUGUCGGCUUAACUUAUCCUCAUGGAUGCAGGAACUAUGUAGGGUGCGACUGUUCGUCGAUUAAAAAGUUACAUGAGCUGGGUUAAAUACGUCGUGAGACAGUAUGGUUUCUAUCUUCUAGGGGGAAUUAGAAUAUAAUAAGAACUAACUUUUGUACGAAAGGAACAAGAAGAAUUUAAUUUGUAAAAGGGUUAAAUAAUAGUUACUAACCUAUGGUUUACCUGUUGUCUAUGUGCCCAAAUAUUAAAAUAUAUAUGGAGGAAGCUCCUUAAGAGCUUCCCCCGCAAAUUAUAUAUAUCUGUAUAGCUAGCCUGCGGACUCCGGUUAUGCCUGAGUUUGGCAAGCUAAAGCUAUACAUAGGGAUGUUUCUUUCACUAAGAUAAAUAUAUAGCAUAGGCACGGCAGGAAAGCUAAGUUGGUUAAGGAUAAGUGCUGAAAGCAUAUAGGCACGAAGCUUAUCUUAAGAUAUUUCUUAAAUAUACGUAAAAUAUUAUUACGAAGGAUGUAAUAUAGGCUUUAUCCGUACGAAUCAGGAGAUUUUUAAGAAUAAAGUACUAAUUUUAUAAAUAACUAUUUAU